GACGAACGCUGGCGGCGUGCUUAACACAUGCAAGUCGAACGGAAAGGCCCUGCUUUCGUGGGGUGCUCGAGUGGCGAACGGGUGUGUAACACGGGAGUAACCUGCCCUUGACUUUGGUAUAACUUGAGGAAACUGGGGCUAAUACCGGAUAGGCGCUCCUGCUGCAUGGUGGUGGUAGGAAAGUUUGGGCGGUUGGGGGUGGACGCGCGGCUUUUCAGCUUGUUGGGGGGUUAGUGGCUUACCAAGGCUUUGAUGGGUGGCCGGCCUGAGAGGGUGACCGGCCACAUUGGGACUGGGAUACGGCCCGGACUCCUACGGGAGGAAGCAGUGGGGAAUAUUGCACAAUGGGCGGAGGCCUGAUGCAGCAACGCCGCGUGCGGGAUGACGGCCUUCGGGUUGUAAACCGCUUUCGCCUGUGACGAAGCGUGAGUGACGGUAAUGGGUUAAGAAGCACCGGCUAACUACGUG
rnacentral:rRNA from 1 species